GAACGAGGUACCCUUGACAGAGGCUUCGGCCAAUUGAUAGGAAUACCUAGUGGCGGACGGGUGAGUAACGCGUGAGGAACCUGCCUUGGAGUGGGGAAUAACAGUUAGAAAUAGCUGCUAAUACCGCAUAAUGCAACUAAGUCGCAUGGCUUUGGUUGCCAAAGAUUUAUCGCUCUAAGAUGGCCUCGCGUCUGAUUAGAUAGUUGGCGGGGUAACGGCCCACCAAGUCGACGAUCAGUAGCCGGACUGAGAGGUUGGCCGGCCACAUUGGGACUGAGACACGGCCCAGACUCCUACGGGAGGCAGCAGUGGGGAAUAUUGGGCAAUGGGCGCAAGCCUGACCCAGCAACGCCGCGUGAAGGAAGAAGGCCCUCGGGUUGUAAACUUCUUUUAUUCGGGACGAAACAAAUGACGGUACCGAAUGAAUAAGCCACGGCUAACUACGUGCCAGCAGCCGCGGUAAUACGUAGGUGGCAAGCGUUAUCCGGAUUUACUGGGUGUAAAGGGCGUGUAGGCGGGAGAGCAAGUCAGACGUGAAAUUCCAGGGCUCAACCCUGGAACUGCGUUUGAAACUGUUCUUCUUGAGUGAUGGAGAGGCAGGCGGAAAUCCGUGUGUAGCGGUGAAAGCGCCUUUCAGAAGGNCCCCCGGGCGNGGCGGCCNGCGGNCNNNNCGNCGNGGGCGGAAAGCGGGGGCCUUUAAGCCCCCCCCCCCCCCCCCAAAGCAAGGGACGUAAGGUUGGGGGGUUUGACCCCCUCCGUGCCGCAGCUAACGCAAUAAGUAUCCCACCUGGGGAGUACGAUCGCAAGGUUGAAACUCAAAGGAAUUGACGGGGGCCCGCACAAGCGGUGGAGUAUGUGGUUUAAUUCGAAGCAACGCGAAGAACCUUACCAGGGCUUGACAUCCCGCUGACCGGUGUAGAGAUACACUUUUCCCUUCGGGGACAGCGGUGACAGGUGGUGCAUGGUUGUCGUCAGCUCGUGUCGUGAGAUGUUGGGUUAAGUCCCGCAACGAGCGCAACCCUUAUUGUUAGUUGCUACGCAAGAGCACUCUAACGAGACUGCCGUUGACAAAACGGAGGAAGGUGGGGACGACGUCAAAUCAUCAUGCCCCUUAUGUCCUGGGCCACACACGUACUACAAUGGCGGUCAACAAAGAGAGGCAAAACCGCGAGGUGGAGCAAAUCUCAAAAAGCCGUCCCAGUUCGGAUUGCAGGCAGCAACCCGCCUGCAUGAAGUUGGAAUCGCUAGUAAUCGCGGAUCAG
rnacentral:rRNA from 1 species